rnacentral:rRNA from 1 species
UUUUUGUAGAGUUUGAUCCUGGCUCAGGACAAACGCUGGCGGCGUGCUUUAAACAUGCAAGUC